rnacentral:rRNA from 1 species
GUCUAGGCCGUGCUACCCUGAACAAUCCCAUCUGAUCUCGGAAGCUAAGCAGGGCCGGACCUAGUUAGUACUUGUAUGGGAGACCACCUGGAAUACCAGGUGCUGUAGGCA